GAUGAACGCUGGCGGCGUGCCUAAAACAUGCAAGUCGUGCGGCAGCGAGCCCCUCGGGGUGUCGGCGAGCGGCGGACGGCUGAGUAACGCGUGGGACCGUACCCCAAAGUGAGGGAUAACCUCGAGAAAUCGAGGCUAAUACCGCAUGUGAUCUUCGGAUUAAAGCUUUAUGCGCUUUGGGAACGGCCCGCGUCCGAUUAGCUAGUUGGUGAGGUAAAGGCUCACCAAGGCGACGAUCGGUAGCUGGUCUGAGAGGAUGAUCAGCCAGACUGGAACUGAGACACGGUCCAGACUCCUACGGGAGGCAGCAGUUAGGAAUCUUCCACAAUGGGCGAAAGCCUGAUGGAGCAACGCCGCGUGCAGGAUGAAGGCCCUCGGGUCGUAAACUGCUUUUGUUAGCGAAGAAUAUGACGGUAACUAACGAAUAAGGAUCGGCUAACUACGUGCCAGCCGCCGCAGUAA
rnacentral:rRNA from 1 species